CAGGCCUUAUAGGCAACCACAGAACCACAAGCAAACUGCAAUCUACAAUUUAGAAGAAUACCUGAGCCUCAGCACAGAGGUUUCGCUCCUCCUUGUGUUUUUCCACCCCAGCUGUGUGUGUGUUGAGUCUGCGUAGGAAAAGUGGGGGCCCUCCAAGCGAAUCUCCAGGACUGGCUGGAAGACCAUUAGAGUUGGGUCAUGGCUUCCAACAGCAUAUUUGAUUCUUUCACGACCUAUUCUUCCUCCUACUUGCGUGGCUUGCAUGUCAAACUCCGUCUCUCCGAAUGGAAAAGGAAAGGGACAAGCAGGAAGAGCCGCAGAUCGGGGUGAUCAAUCAUGAUAAUGGAGACUCCUCUGUCACUCAAGUCUGGUUCACAGAUGGCUGCCGCAUGUCAGAUCUGCUCGCAGUGGGCUGCAGUGGGGAGUGAACACAGCAGCCCUCCCACCAUGCACAGAGGCUUCAGGGUGGAUCAGGGGUCUGUC